UGUGCGUUGGUCGAAGGGAGAUAGAAUAAGGCCUCCAAGGUUUUUAUCUGUUGAAUUAUUCAGGAAAUUUUAAGACAAAGUCAACUUCAACAGAGCAGGACACGCAAUGGAGUGACCAUUAAAGUUUCAGUGCUGCUUUCUGUGAUAAGACAGUCAUCUGAUAUAAAAGCUAUGAGGAAAUUGACAUAUGUAAACAUAUGCCACGGGGCAGCUCUGGUAAAGGACAUUUUUUAAGAUGCCCCCUACGUUAUGUGCACAAUUACAAGGUGAAAUCCAGUCAUUUCAAUAGGAAUCAACGCAAUCUGGAAUUCCGUGUUGUGGUGAAAUUUCCCCAUUUCCUAAGCUGGACACACGGAUUCACCACACUGAUCAACAGAAAGCUGCUUGGUUUGAAAGUGACUUCUCUGUGUGACCUGUGCUUCAUACAUCGCUACACUAUAUUAGCUGAAUUUUGGCUAAUGUGACUGCAACUUCUCACAGGAUCCAUGGGCUUGGGAGUUAGCUUGAUAUAUAUACGGUAAUGCAAUGAAGAUUUAAAGCAAGUUAACUUGAAAAGUUUGGACAAGAUAAACCAAAUGUUGAAAAAUCAUUCUGUUGAUGAAAAAAAAAACACAUUAAACCAGCUUUUUAGCAGGUCUAGUUUAAGUUGGUCUAGCUGGUCUUCCAGUGUGGUCAAGAUGAUAUUCAGCUGGUUUAGCUGGUCCUCACCAGUCAAUGAUCAGCAAACCAGGUGAUUUAAUUUUGUUUUCAGAAGGGUCAAUAAACCUUUAAAGGUGAUGACUUUUUCCUCACAGGUUAAAGAAAUAUGA